rnacentral:rRNA from 1 species
CAGUAGCCGCGGUAAUACGUAGGUGGCAAGCGUUGUCCGGAAUUAUUGGGCGUAAAGGGCUCGCAGGCGGUUUCUUAAGUCUGAUGUGAAAGCCCCCGGCUCAACCGGGGAGGGUCAUUGGAAACUGGGAAACUUGAGUGCAGAAGAGGAGAGUGGAAUUCCACGUGUAGCGGUGAAAUGCGUAGGGAUGUGGAGGAACACCAGUGGCGAAGGCGACUCUCUGGUCUGAAACUGACGCUGAGGAGCGAAAGCGUGGGGAGCGAACAGGAUUAGAUACCCCCGUAGUCCCUGUCUCUUAUAC